UACGUAGGGUGCAAGCGUUGUUCGGAAUCAUUGGGCGUAAAGAGCGCGCAGGCGGCUUGGCAAGUCGGGUGUGAAAUCCCGGGGCUCAACCCCGUGACUGCAUCCGAUACUGUCAGGCUAGAGGUAGGUAGGGGAGAUCGGAAUUCCUGGUGUAGCGGUGAAAUGCGCAGAUAUCAGGAGGAACACCGGUGGCGAAGGCGGAUCUCUGGGCCUUACCUGACGCUCAGGCGCGAAAGCUAGGGGAGCGAACAGG
rnacentral:rRNA from 1 species